rnacentral:lncRNA from 1 species
UGAGUGACCAAGGGGUGCUGACCGCGGCGCUCGGACCCGGCAACUUACAAGAUUAAAAUUAAAUUUGGUUGAUGAUGGUUCUGGACAAAUACAGCUCUUUUAUUUGAGGUAUGCCAUUUUGAAGACAGACCCGUGGAAUUUUAUCCUUGAGGAUAGGGGAAAUCUUUGUGAAAGUCUGUAUUUUAUAAAGCAACAAUAUGAAUCCUGAGGCUGAAUUGUCUAAGGGGCCUGUACAGCGAAAUAGAUAGAGGUAUAAAUGGAUGGAAGGAAACUCACAUUUGAACAUUCUUCUAAUACUGCACCCUAGCUGUUGGUAAGCUCCCCAUUUUUAUAAAUAAAGUUUUAUUGGAACACAGCUAAGCUCUUUCAUUUACGUAUUAGCUGUGUCUGCUUUCUGACUACAGCUGCAGAGAGUAGAUUUAGCUAAUGGCCACAAACCCUAACAUAUUUAGUUAUUUAGUAUUUUAACCUGUAAGGAAAUCUUGCCUAUCCUUUCCCUAGAUUCAUCCUUUUUGUCAACUUUAUGUAGAACUCAAAAGCACUUGGAUUCUCUUAAUAAUGGGGGUGUACCUUUUACUUUGUUAGUAUUUCAUUGUUAGAAUUCAAAUAACAUAAGUAAUCAUGAGCUUGGCUUAAACUCCAAAGCCCAACAAAGGUUCUUUCACACCAGCAUUAUGCUUUAAUAUUAGAAGAUUUGGGGAGUUCCCGGUGUGGCACAGUGGAAAUGAAUCAACUAGUAUAGUAUCCAUGAGGAUUUGGGUUCUAUCCCCGGCCUCACUCAGUGGAUUAAGGAUUUGGAGUUGCUGUGAGCUGUGGUGUAGGCCAGCAGCUGCAGCUCUGAUUCGACCCCUAGUCUAGGAACUUCCUUAUGACACAGGUAUGGCCCCAAAAAGCAAAAAAAAAAAAAAAGAAGAAGAAGAUUUGGUUACUACUGCUAUGGAAUUUCUAAUUCGCAACCUGAGAAAUAGUGGGAAAAAAGUUAGGGUUAAGAAUGUGUAAAUGAAUUUGGUUGAACUCUCAAAAGGAUUUAUUUAUUAUUGACAGAACUUUUUAGGUAUGAUAAUUAUUUAGUAGCUUUUUCAUAAAAAUAAUUUUCGAUUCACAUUUGGGAAUCUAGAUUCUAAGUGAUAAUCUUUGCUUCUAAUUACUGCAACUUCUAUUAUGUAAAAAUGGCUACUAGGGCUUGUAAAAUAGUGAAGUUUGUUUCUGUUUUCCAAUUUAGGGUGUGAGGACAGAUGAAAACUUUGCUAAUGUAAUACAAUUUAUUAACUUAAUGUCUUUUAAAGCAAUUAAUUGGCACAUUACUGGAUGCUCAACAUACUUGUUGAUUUAUUUUAAUGGUUUCUAUUGAACAUUUAUUAACUAGUAUUUUGAGUCUAGUCUAAAAACAAUUCAUUAUUAAAAUGUGUUUGUAAUGGGUUAAAUACUAAUUUUUAUGUAUGCUUGAAAGCUAAAACUUUGACUCGGUAAAGACCUUAAAAGUGGCAAGAAACCACAACUUUCAAUCUUUUAUGCACAUGUAGUCAAGUUUUAAAAACUAAUAGGGAUAAUGGGGAAGACUUGAUUUGAUUGUAAAACCUUAAGUAAGACUCUUCUUACUUAACAUAGUUGAUCUUAUUCUUUUAGUAAACAACAGUUGGAUGGACUUUUUGUAGUUAGUUUUUAUGCCCACCUUAUUUAAUUUUAUACCCAAGACUUGUUAAUAUAUUGCAAUCCUAUUGAGCAUUCAAGCUAUUUUUGGUAAUAAGACAGUAUGUGAAUUCAUUAAAUGUUUUCAGAUUUAAAGACAGUGCAAAGAAGAUUGAAAUCAUAAGUACCAAGAAGCUUAUUUACAUAAGCCGAUGAGAAUGAUCAAUUUCUGCUUCUCAUUGUAAUUUUGUAUCCAUUUGUCUUGCAUUAAAUAUUUGAGUUUUAAAAUAAUAAAAGUUACAUAAGUUAACAAACUAGCAUUUAUUAUAGAGCCUCUCACUUUAUUUUUUCAUCUUUUUAGUUUUAUUUGAAGUAUAGUUGAUUUACAAUGUUGUGAUAAUUUCUGAUGUACAACAAAGUGAUUUAGUUACACAUGUACACACAUCCCUUUUCAGGUUUUUUUCCCAUAUAGAUUAUUAUAGAAUAUUGGGUAGAGUUCCCUGUGCUAUACAGCAGGUACCCAUUUAGAGCUACUCAUUUUAAAAAUUAAGAAUCAUUAAUCUUUUUUCCUUGUAUUCCUCCCUGUCUGCCAUAUUUUUUGUUGCCAUUAAAAUGUGGGUUUGCUGGGAAGUAGAGGUAAGGAAAUUGCUUAUUUUAGGGGAACCCUUCUUAAACCCAUCCAGUAAUGAAUCACUUGUUUGCAUUUCAGCUAAUGACAUAUAGGUUUUUUUUGAAAAAAUUUACUGAAUUAGAAUUUAAGAGAAGACUUUGCUCAAUUCUGCGUUUUUAAUUUCCAGAUGUACAAAAUAUUUGGGAAUUUUAAGAGGUAGUAAGUACUUAUUACGUUUUUACUAUAGGAAGCUUUUGCUUUUGUUUUUGGGUAUUAGAGUAAGAAAUUUUCCUUUAAAAAGGAAAUAUAAAGUACUGAACAUCAUCGUGGAGAAAUUCUCCUAGCUUUUCGUAAUAUGAGCUUGGAACUUGUAUGUUUGAUGAUGGAAUUCUUGAGCAAACCAUCAUCUCUUCAGUAUAUUUGCAGUAAUUCACUAAUUACUAGAGAGAGAUGGAGUAUUAGGGCUUUGAUACUAAACCCUACUCAGUUUUCUGUACUGGUCUUAUUUUAAUGUCAGAUUAAAUUCUCUUUAAAGCAGAAAGUGUUUUGUCUUUAAAUAGUUGACCCCAUGAUUCUAUAGAUUUUUCAGGGAUAUCAUAGCCACUGGAAUAUAAAUUACUUUGAUUCAUUAAGGGUAGUUUGUAGGUCCUCAGGUACUUUGGUUACUAUGGUAUAUUGGAACAAUAGCUGGCAUUUAUUGAAGUCUUCCAUUAUGCCAGGUAAUGUAAAAGCUAUAAAUGUACUAACUCCUUUAAUCCUCACUACUGCUGCCACAUGAGGUAGGUACUGUUACUUCUGUUUUACAGAUGAAGAACUGGAUUUUGUUAACAAGAAAAUUUCCAGUCCCACAGAACUCAUGCUUGUUUUCUCUUUUUUCUUAACAUAACUUUGCUGAUUUGCAAGUUUAAUUUUUGUAGAGAAAUUGGAAUUCCAUGAGAAUGACUUAUUUCUAAAUCAUUUACUGUUCAUUUAAGUGCUUUGAUACUUAAAGUAUUACUGAGCACUUUUGCUUAUUAACAGAACUGACUUCUGGCUUUUGAGUUGGCUUUAUAGAAGUGAAGGUUGAUCAUGGGUUUUCUUGGGUAGCAUUCCUUUUUUUCUUUUUUUCUUCUCUCCUCUGCUCUGCCUUUUAUACUGUUUAAAAUGGCAGUAUAUGUAUUAGCUUGACCAAUAUGCUAGUAUUUUUAAUCUCUGUUUUUAUCCCAUAAACUGGUGCAUUUUAUUAAUUUUGUUCUGAUUUUAAUAAAUAAGGCUUUGUGAAAUUUUUUGAAAAACAAGGUUUUAAAAGGAAAUGUCUUAUCGUGUCCAAGGUAAAUUUUACCUCUUGGCCUAUGGCAGAAGAAUAUAAAGCACAAAGUUUAUCAUUUAAUGUACUAGAUUGAAUAAAUUGCACCUGUAGCCAUUGAGAUGAUUAUAACUUGAUAUCGAUGCAUUAAUGUCAUUGUUCAUCAUAAUAAUAUUUAUGUUCUCAACUUCAUUUAGAGCUUGAUCCUGCAUUGUAAGAGCAGGGUUUGGGGAGAAAUUGGUUUAUAAUUAACUCUGCAAGAGACUGAUCGUAUUUUUAUUUUUAUACUUUUAUAUAGAAAUGUAUGUCCCUUAAUUUUAUGAAUGAAACGCUCAAUUAGAAGAUAAUUUACUGACAUGGAGAAUGAAUAAGUUAUUUCCAGUUCUCCUUUUAGGCUGGAGAGAAAUCAGCAAAAAAUAUUAAGGAGAAAUGUCUUUUGUUUGAUGUUUAAUGAGUGGUGGUGUCUUCUUGGUUAAUCAAAUAACUAAGUAGAUUUUUGUAUUUUAUAUAUAAAAUACUUACUGUAGACUAGAAAUCCAAAUUACAGUUUGAGUCAAGGUAUUAAUUACCUCAUGAGCUCAAGAUGCCCCCCUUUUUUGGCUGCACCUGUGGCAUAUGGAGGUUCCUGGGCUAGGGACUGAAUAUGAGCUGCAGCUGUGGCAAUGCCAGAUCCUUAACACACUUCACCAGGUCAGGGAUCGAACCCAUGCAGCCAUAGAGACAACUGCCAAAUCCUUAACUCCAAAAUGACUCCAAAAUGCCCUUAUAUUUAAUACCCUUCUAAUCAGUCACCCAGACCAGCCAUACAAAUUUAGUUUGAGAGCUGCAGAAUUUAUAGAGAAGACUAGAGUUAAUACUUACUUUUAUGUUUUAUCAUGAUGAAUCAGAACUAUUUAUUUAAUAGUAAAAUCUCCUGGCUUCCCUUAAUCCCUUUAUUUCAAAUUAUUUAAGUAGUGGGUUUUUUUGUUUUUUUUUUUUCAAUGGGGGAACAUUUGAUGUUUUCUCAAUGGAAGUAUUUUUUUAUUUAAUUUGCAAUUUGAUAGCAUUUCAUGGCAAAUACCAAAUAAGCCGGGCAGAUAUUUUGCCUAAAGAUGAUGGUAUCUAUGUUGGUCAUUUGUGUUACCUAUGCAAAAUUAUUAUCCGUUGCAUUGGAAAACCACUGUGAUCCACUGCUUUAGUUUUUUUCUUUUUUCUUUUUUUUAAUCCUAAGAUUCUUUUCCAUAAUUAGUUUUAUUUGAAGAAGCUUGGGAAGUUUUUUGCACUGAGAUUUAGCAUCCAUAGUGUUGGUGUAAUUUAGCUUUCUAGGAUUUUUGAAUUUGAAUUUUUGUUUUUAUUUCUCAUAUAGUCUAGCAAUAUUACAUUUAACUAUUAAAAAUUUGACUCUUCACUGCCACAUUUUUAUGGUUACAUAUGUAUCUGUGACAGUAGAAGGACUUUGUUACUAGUGUGCAGUUUUCCCAUGUCUCUCAUUGAUAAGUUUGUACAGCACAUACAACUUUAUACAGUUUUAUAAUUUAAAGCUGUUACAAAAUUGUUAAAGCUUUGUAUGGUUAGAGUAUCUUCAAGGUGGGUGGAUGUUCUCUGUUUAAAGGAAUAAGAUUAUUGCUAUUCCAACAGCAUUUUUUCUUUUAAUGUUUUCAUCAAGCACCCAGUCAGCUUGAAGAGUCUCAAAUGGACCCUACAACUGAGAAAUCAAGAUGGCAGUCCACUAUGGGAAAUGAGAAAAAUGGACUAAUGCAAGAGUGCUGUGAUAAUAACAACCAAGACAGGGUUCUUUUAACAUGGAUUUCAUGAAUGAAGAUAUAGGUUUCUUAACCAACACAAUGGACAGUGGAUUCGACUUUGGAAAGACUUUUUGUAUCAUAAAAACAAGAACAUUUUUGACACUUGGAGAAGAAAGAUGACACAUUAACAGAUGAUAGUGUGUAUGCCUGGAAUUUUUUGGUUUGAUUUGUAUGAGAAUGACCUUGUGGAAUGUUAACUUUAAUAAAAUUUCUAACAGU